AUACCGCGUGUGUGAAGAAGGCCUUCGGGUUGUAAAGCACUUUAAGCAGGGAGAAAAAGUUAUAAGUUAAUACCUUAUGACCUUGAUGUUACCUGCAGAAUAAGCACCGGCUAAUUCCGUGCCAGCAGCCGCGGUAAUACGGAAGGUGCAAGCGUUAAUCGGAAUUACUGGGCGUAAAGCGCGCGUAGGUGGUUUGUUAAGUUGGAUGUGAAAGCCCUGGGCUCAACCUAGGAACUGCAUCCAAAACUAACUCACUAGAGUACGAUAGAGGGAGGUAGAAUUCAUAGUGUAGCGGUGGAAUGCGUAGAUAUUAUGAAGAAUACCAGUGGCGAAGGCGGCCUCCUGGAUCUGUACUGACACUGAGGUGCGAAAGCGUGGGUAGCGAACAGGAUUAGAUACCCUGGUAGUCCACGCCGUAAACGAUGACAACUAGCUGUUGGGAGACAAAGUCUUUCAGUGGCGCAGCUAACGCUUUAAGUUGUCCGCCUGGGGAGUACGGCCGCAAGGCUAAAACUCAAAUGAAUUGACGGGGACCCGCACAAGCGGUGGAGCAUGUGGUUUAAUUCGAUGCAACGCGAAAAACCUUACCUACUCUUGACAUACUUGGGAGCUCUUGUAAUGAGAGUGUGCCUUAUGGAACCAAGAUACAGGUGCUGCAUGGCUGUCGUCAGCUCGUGUCGUGAGAUGUUCCGUUAAGUCGGAUAACGAGCGCAACCCUUACCCUUAUUUGCCAGCGAUUCGGACGGGAACUAUAAGGGGACUGCCGGUGAUAAACCGGAGGAAGGUGAGGACGACGUCAAGUCAUCAUGGCCCUUACGAGUAGGGCUACACACGUGCUACAAUGGGAAAUACAGACGGACGCUAAGCCGCGAGGUGGUGCUAAUCCUAGAAAGUUUCUCGUAGUCCGGAUUGGAGUCUGCAACUCGACUCCAUGAAGUCGGAAUCGCUAGUAAUCGCGGAUC
rnacentral:rRNA from 1 species